rnacentral:rRNA from 1 species
GAUGAACGCUAGCGGGAGGCUUAAUACAUGCAAGUCGAACGGUAAGGUCAGAGCUUGCUCUGAUACACGAGUGGCGAACGGGUGAGUAACGCGUACAAAUCUACCCUCAAGUUUGGGAUAGCCCUGGGAAACUGGGAUUAAUACCAAAUGUGAUAAUAGUUUAUAAUUAUUAUUAAAGCUCCGGCGCUUGAGGAUGAGUGUGCGUACUAUUAGCUAGUUGGUGAGGUAAAUGCUCACCAAGGCGACGAUAGUUAGGGGGCGUGAGAGCGUGAACCCCCACACGGGUACUGAGACACGGACCCGACUCCUACGGGAGGCAGCAGUAAGGAAUAUUGGACAAUGGGGGCAACCCUGAUCCAGCCAUCCCGCGUGCAGGAAGACGGCCCUAUGGGUUGUAAACUGCUUUUAUUAGGGAAGAAAAUGUUUCAUUUAUGAGACACUGACGGUACCUAAAGAAUAAGCACCGGCUAACUCCG